rnacentral:rRNA from 1 species
CAGCCGCCACGGGAACACGUAGGGUGCGAGCGUUAAUCGGAAUUACUGGGCGUAAAGCGUGCGCAGGCGGUUCGUUAAGACAGAUGUGAAAUCCCCGGGCUUAACCUGGGAACUGCAUUUGUGACUGACGGGCUAGAGUAUGGCAGAGGGGGGUAGAAUUCCACGUGUAGCAGUGAAAUGCGUAGAGAUGUGGAGGAAUACCGAUGGCGAAGGCAGCCCCCUGGGCCAAUACUGACGCUCAUGCACGAAAGCGUGGGGAGCAAACAGGAUUAGAUACCCCCGUAGUCCCUGUCUCUUAUAC